UUCUGGCAUGUACAUUAAGAUUUAGUUUUUAACGCAAAAUUCGAAAUUUAUGGUAUACUUCACUUUGUUACUAUAUUCAUAUUAUCUACAUAUACAUACCCUUGCUCCAAUAUUAUUGAUUAUGUAAAUUCGUUCUAAUAUUAAGAUAAUAAUAAUGUUUCAUUUAAAUAUAUACAAUAAAAUAUCAUCAUCAUUAACAACCAUAUUCGGCUCACUGUUGACCACGAGUCUCCUCUCAGAAUGAGAGGUUAGGUCAAUAGUCCACCACGCUAGCCCUUCGAAUCGAAGGCAGAGGUCAUAUCCACUGAGCUAUCACGGCUCAAUGGAUAUGACCAAUAUGACAAUUACAUUUGAUAAAAUAGAAGUUAAUAUGGGACUAAGUCAAAGCUUACAUGAUGAGUUAACAGACCUGUUCUGAAGUCAUUUGAGGACAAAAAUAAUUUAAUUUCACUGAUUUGUAGCAAAAGUUAUACAAUACAUUUGCUACAAAUCAACAUAACUGUUCUUAUGUACAGAAAGUAGUUAUUAUAGAUAAUUUUAUUUUUUCAGGUACAAUAGCUUGCAAUCAGAAAUUAUUAGGGUACAAAUACAUACAUUCAGUUUUGCUGAUGCCCGAAACGAGUAGAAGACACAAACUACCACAUUCAAGCUGAAAUCUGAAGUAUGCAAACAUUACAUAACCUCAACCUCGGACCAGAGCGACCUUGUGUGUUUUCUUCAUCUUAAUUUAAAGGUGUGUGUGUCGACUGAAUACCUACUUAUCAGCUUCAUCUUGGUGUAGCAGUUAUGUUGGCACCUCGUAAAGGCCUGUCUUCAUAAUAUAGGUAAGCCAUACUGAUGUGACGUGUUAAAUGCUAUUUAAUUAUGUUUAUUUUUAACUUGCGAAAAAUAUACGAUAAUAAAGUA